CUAGUUGGUAAGGUAACGGCUUACCAAGGCAACGAUGCAUAGCCGACCUGAGAGGGUGAUCGGCCACACUGGAACUGAGACACGGUCCAGACUCCUACGGGAGGCAGCAGUAGGGAAUCUUCCGCAAUGGGCGAAAGCCUGACGGAGCAACGCCGCGUGAGUGAUGAAGGUCUUCGGAUCGUAAAACUCUGUUAUUAGGGAAGAACAUAUGUGUAAGUAACUGUGCACAUCUUGACGGUACCUAAUCAGAAAGCCACGGCUAACUACGUGCCAGCAGCCGCGGUAAUACGUAGGUGGCAAGCGUUAUCCGGAAUUAUUGGGCGUAAAGCGCGCGUAGGCGGUUUUUUAAGUCUGAUGUGAAAGCCCACGGCUCAACCGUGGAGGGUCAUUGGAAACUGGAAAACUUGAGUGCAGAAGAGGAAAGUGGAAUUCCAUGUGUAGCGGUGAAAUGCGCAGAGAUAUGGAGGAACACCAGUGGCGAAGGCGACUUUCUGGUCUGUAACUGACGCUGAUGUGCGAAAGCGUGGGGAUCAAACAGGAUUAGAUACCCUGGUAGUCCACGCCGUAAACGAUGAGUGCUA
rnacentral:rRNA from 1 species